GGGAUCGCAUUCAGUGGUGACCAUCCACGCUGAGCUCUUGCGACUUGCCUCUGCUGUCUCGCACGCUUGCUGUGCCACAGUAUCACACAUGGCUAAUGAAUCGAGGCCCUGCCCAUGUGAUAUUGGGGACAGGUUUGACUACGGAGGCCGUGGGCAGGAAGUACAAGUUGAGCACAUCAAGGCGUAUGUUUGCAAAGCACCUGCCAGCACAGACAAAGCUGUGGUUGUGAUUCAUGAUAUAUUUGGAUGGCAACUCCCAAACACCAGAUACAUGGCUGAUAUGCUUGCGGCUAAUGGAUACAUAGCCAUCUGCCCAGACUUUUUUGCAGGAAGAGAAGCUUGGAAGCCUUCUGA